AUGGAUAACAGGUGCAAAUCUGGUUCACAGCAACUUCGUUUCGUCGCUAAACUCUUCCAUCAACAGCUAGCUUCUGGUUUUGUACUUCCAUCGCUUUUUCAACCCUUGGAUAGAUCCAUUCCUGGCUUUCCGUUUCAACGUUUUGGCCUUCACAAGUUUCUAGAUUGUGGUUUCCUUAGUUCUUGUUCUGUGUAUGCUGCACAAGUCUUCUGA